rnacentral:tRNA from 1 species
ACUUUUAAAGGAUAGAAGCAAUCCACUGGCCUUAGGAGCCAUCCACCCUUGGUGCAACUCCAAGUGAAAGUA